CAAGGAUCCCUUACAUGAAAUACUCUUAGGAAUUGUGCACUGUCACUGAGUUUCCCUUGAGUAAAAAUACAGACUCAAAGCCAAGCUCACCCCAGGCAGCUUUCUGCUGCCAAUCUCACCAUUCUGAGCUUUCCAUGUGCAGAUGCAACCACUCGAGACUGCAAAGGACUUACUGGAGCCUCACCACAAUUCUGCAAAGAAGGCAAUAGAGACUGCAAGGCAAUAGUAAAAAGUAAAAGCAAAGACAACCAGCUUCCAGUCUCAGAAGGCAAUCUGGUUCUGCAGUUUCCCAAACUACAUGGAAUUCUUCCUAAAAGGAUUAAGAUCCAGCAUUGACUGGAAGUCAUAGCAUCACUUUCAGGUGAGAACCCAAACCAACUUGACUGGGUAACCACAAACUGUUCUGAAUGCAAAGGGAUGGGAGUACUUCACCCUUUCCCUUUUCUUAUAGGAUUAAUCCCUCUGCCCUGGACCCACACUCAGAAUGAGUUUAGGUCAUUGAGUAACUCCAAAGGAGCAAAAAGAAAAAAAGAAAAAGAAAAUCAAGCUUCUUACUUCAGGAAAGCUGAGUACCUACCACAAUUCUAGCAUCUGUGAGACCCUCUAGAUGAGGAAUACAAACCUGAGGUCACCCAGAAAUCAUCCUCUUGUCCUCUGCUCUUCCCCUAACCAGGAGAAACUUCUGGCCCCAGACUCAGGUCUCUUCUUCUCCUUAUACUCAAGCCAAGACACUGUUCUUCCCUCCUGCAGCUAUUGUUCACAAUUAAGAAGAUACAUAAAUAAAAAGCUGUUAAAAGAGGUCAGACUUUUAAAGUAUUCCUUAAAAUAGAAAAA
rnacentral:lncRNA from 1 species